rnacentral:rRNA from 1 species
UCAGGAUGAACGCUAGCGGCAGGCCUAAUACAUGCAAGUCGAACGGGAAAGGCGUCCUUCGGGGGCCUUGAGAGUGGCGCACGGGUGCGCAACGCGUAUGCAACCAACCCCCGACAGGCGGAUAGCCGGUGGAAACGCCGGAUAAUACGCCAUGGUUCCCCGGGAGGGCAUCCUCCUAGGGAUAAAGCAGCGAUGCGGUCGGGGACGGGCAUGCGUGCCAUUAGCUUGUUGGCGGGGCGACGGCCCACCAAGGCUGCGAUGGCUAGGGGAUCUGAGAGGACGGUCCCCCACACUGGUACUGAGACACGGACCAGACUCCUGCGGGAGGCAGCAGUAAGGGAUAUUGGUCAAUGGGCGGAAGCCUGAACCAGCCCAUGCCGCGUGAGGGAAUGAGGCCCUACGGGUCGUGAACCUCUUUUAUUCGGGGACAAGGACGGCGUCGUGAACGCCGUUUGAGGGUACCGAAGGAAUAAGCGUCGGCUAACUCCGUGCCAGCCGCCGC